GUAGUUGGCCGGCGCUUCUUCUGCAGGUACCGUCACUUACGCUUCGUCCCUGCUGAAAGAGGUUUACAACCCGAAGGCCGUCAUCCCUCACGCGGCGUCGCUGCAUCAGGCUUCCGCCCAUUGCCCAAUAUUCCCCACUGCUGCCUCCCGUAGGAGUCUGGACCGUGUCUCAGUUCCAGUGUGGCCGAUCAGCCUCUCAGCUCGGCUACCCAUCGUCGGCUAGGUGGGCCGUUACCCCGCCUACUACCUAAUGGGACGCGAACCCCUCCUAUAGCGGAUUGCUCCUUUGACCCCUUCGCCAUGUGGCAUUGUGGUCUUAUGCGGUAUUAGCACUUGUUUCCAGGUGUUAUCCCCCUCUUUAGGUCAGGUUGUUCACGCGUUACUCACCCGUGCGCCACUAAAGAUACCUCGUAUUGCUACUCAGUAUCCUCCGUUCGACUUGCAUGUGUUAGGCACGCCGCCAGCGUUCGUCCUGAGCCAGGAUCAAACUCUGA
rnacentral:rRNA from 1 species